CGAACGCUGGCGGCGCGUUUUAAGCAUGCAAGUCGAACGGUAGGAAUCCUUCGGGAUUCUGAGAGUGGCGAACGGGUGAGUAACACGUAGAUGAUCUGCCUUGAAGUUGGGGAUAGCCCAUAGAAAUAUGGGGUAAUACCGAAUAAUACCUUACGGUCUUGACUGUUUGGUGAAAGGGGCUUCGGCCUCGCUUUAAGAUGAGUCUGCGGCUUAUUAGCUAGUUGGUAGGGUAAAGGCCUACCAAGGCGACGAUAAGUAGCCGGCCUGAGAGGGUGACCGGCCACAUUGGGACUGAGACACGGCCCAAACUCCUACGGGAGGCAGCAGCUAAGAAUCUUCCGCAAUGGGCGCAAGCCUGACGGAGCGACGCCGCGUGGACGAAGAAUGCCGAGAGGUUGUAAAGUCCUUUUAUUUGCGAAGAAUAAUGCCUGUAGGUAAUGACAGGCAGAUGACGUUAGCUUAUGAAUAAGCUCCGGCCAAUUAC
rnacentral:rRNA from 1 species